UACGUAGGGUGCGAGCGUUAAUCGGAAUUACUGGGCGUAAAGCGUGCGCAGGCGGUUCGUUGUGUCGGCGGUGAAAGCCCCGGGCUUAACCUGGGAAUGGCCGUCGAAACUGGCGAACUGGAGUGUGGCAGAGGGGGGGUGGAAUUCCGCGUGUAGCAGUGAAAUGCGUAGAGAUGCGGAGGAACACCGAUGGCGAAGGCAGCCCCCUGGGCUGACACUGACGCUCGAGGCACGAAAGCGUGGGGAGCAAACAGG
rnacentral:rRNA from 1 species